UCGGACCGACAUUGAAAACAUUUUGAAAACACAUUUGUAUGUUGUGGAACGUAAGUCGUUCGGACCGACAAUUUGUGUUUUCGCUGAGUUUUCACUGACAGUUCACAAAUUUAUUUGUUUGUUUACAUUUGAGCAACGAGAAUGAUUUCUGAGAAAAAGAUGUUAAUUGCGAAAGCAUUGGCUUUGAGAAGCCAAAUAAAUAUCCUGCUCAUCGACAAUUCUUCAAGAGAACUAUUGGAAUGUCUUACUUCUCAGCACCAUGCCUUGACAAAAGAGAUAGCCGAGUUAAAGAAACAAUAUCUAAUCGUAUUAGAUUUAAUAAAGGACCUUGGGAUGCCGAUUAAUUCAUGUUGGACAAAACAACGUAAGAAUCAGUUUUGGGAACACGAUUGCCAACGAAACGGUUGUGCUUUUUUUAAAGAGAACUUUCGCAUGAACAGAAG